UGGCAUGCAAGUCAUGAGCUUCUGUUUGCUUU
rnacentral:piRNA from 1 species